GCUUCUUUGAACAGUGUAGCUUCUCCGGGUGAGGUCUCCAUUUUGCCUAAGGGGACACGGAGGCUUGUGAGGGGCCGGCCUCAGGAAGGAGGAGUAGAGAGAACUUGGGCUCAUUUAAAUCAAGUUAAAUGCCUUGGGAAAGGUAAAGUAGUCUCUCCUUAGAGCGAGGGUCUCAACACAUUCUUGAAAAGUCUUUGUUGACUGGCCGGCAGGAGCAGUGCGGAACUCGUAAGUAAGUGCGCCUUUCUUCCUCCCUGAGCCUAGAAAGGAUAACAGAGGCUUGAUCUGUGGACUAGCUUCACGUAAGAGGGGUUAGGGAGAGCCUGGGAUCAGUUAGGUCCAGGUGAGGGGCUUUUGGUGGUUCUGAGAAAUUCCCAGCCCCCAGAGACGAUCUGAGAAUGUUCUAGAAAAACCUCACUUGCCAGACCGCAUAUCACAGUGCGGAAUUCUCCGGAGAGCACCCUCUUCCUAUUCAGUAGGAACUGAGAAUCAGAGCCUUUUUCUAAAGACCGCCGCUACAAGUAGGAGGAGCGAAGAUCCUGGGGUCAGUAGGAACUGAAAGUCAGAGCCUUUUUCUAAGGACUGUGCUUCAGGUGGCAGGAACAGAAGGCCUGGGGUCAGCCUUGCACCCACUGUGCAGUGGAGAAUUCUCAGGAUUGGCCCUUUGUCUCCCUGGUCUCAGGGAGGAGGGCCUCGCUGUGAGGAUCUUCAGCAGGUCACAGGAGCAGACACGUCCUGUCAGCAAAGGGAGCAGCUCAGGAUCUGCAGGGAAUCGAGGAGAGGAACUUGGGGGAGGACUGAAGGUGUUUUUAUUGGUUGUAGCUGUGUCCCAGUCAAGAGGUUUCCCUGCUCACACUGGUACAGAAGGAAGGCAGCCAGAACCCACAUCAGUGUUGGAUACAGUGCUGGAAAAGGAGCUCAGGAGGGGAAGGUCUUGGUCUGAGGCAGCAGCCACAGAUCACACGGGACACCAGGCCCAGGAGUCAAGGUAAGGGAUGUGAACGGAAAUG
rnacentral:lncRNA from 1 species